UCAGGCCAGACUAACUCACGGCACAUGAGGACAAGUGUUUAUGGCUGCUUGCUUCCGCAUCUGACCAGAUUCGCAUCGUCUCCCAUUGCAUGAGAUCCAACC
rnacentral:SRP_RNA from 1 species